rnacentral:lncRNA from 1 species
GAGUGUCCUGCCUGUCUUGCAAAACUUACUUGGCUUAAGCAUAUUUUUGAUUGAAAAACAUCAGUGCUGCUCUAUUUUCUGAGACCGAGGAGCAACAUUCCACAACCAGGGCCACAUGUCAAGAGUGGAGUUUGUGACUAACCCUCUCAGCAUUGCCCCUUCUGUUCGCAGGCACCACUUCUAUGAACCAGUGGGAGGAAGCAGGAACACAUUGUUCCCAUUUCACUGUAGCUUGAGAAGAGAGAAAAGAGGCAAAUGAGGGGUUUAGACUGAAUUAAUUAAGCCCAACACAUUUCUGUGGAAAAUUUAAAGGUGUGAAUGUUUGAGAAGUUUAGAUGAACAUUUUAGAUUCACACCCCCAUCUCCACCUGUUGAAAUAUUUCUCCUUUUAGGCUUCUCUCCAAAGCUACUUUUCCCUGAAGACUUCCUGGAUUCCCAUAAAAUGGGGUUCAGCCGCCCCUAAUGCCCGUGGCCAUUUUGUGGGAGGGAAUCCUGCUUAAAACACUGCUUUGCCCAAGGACUGUGAUUGGACUUGAUCAAGACUCUUGACUGCAGAAGAAGUCUACGAAUACGAUUUAAUUGUAAAUCAUGGCUAAAGAACUUGCCAGCAGACACUUGGCCUGCCAAUGGUAGCACUGGAUGUGCGGUGCUGGCUUGGGACAGGUGAUGAAGGAUGGGGCUCGCAUUUCAACAUCGGUCUCCAGCAGAUUCACCAGGCACUGUAAGCCACACAAGAGGAAAAAGUAGAGAAACUUCUCAAGGAGGGCAUUCAGUUUCACCCAGACAAUAUUGGCUUCCUGGGACCAUGCUGCCCAAGACGGAUGGACCCACGGAAGCAGAUGAUGCCUCUUGAGUUAUUCAGUGAAGUACUUGUAUGCUGUCAUUUAAACCUAUGUUUCAUCAACCAGUACAAGCCAUAUGGCCAAAGCCAGCACCAAUGAUGUAGAAGAGCUCUGCCUACUAUAGUUGGUGUUACUAAAAAGUCACAUGACAAAGUAAGUGGCUAUAUAAUUCUAUGAUUGAGUGGGCAUAAGAAUGGACGACAACAAUUUCUCCUACCACAGUCCAUCUACUCUUUGAUCUAUUUUUUUUACAUGCAAAAUACACUUACUCUUACAGAAGGCAUGCCAAAGUCUCAUCCAUUUAUGACAUCUGGGAUUUCAUUUAUAUUCAUUUUGCAUUUGGUUGCUCUUGACUGAGAGAACAGUGAAUUUAAAGACAAUUAUUUCCCCUUACUCACCUGGCAUGCAGUGAUGGAACAGAGACAGGUUAAUUUACACAAGUAUAUGCAUUCAGAAUGGGGAUGAAGAGAAGGUACAUGACUGUCAUUGAUUCGUAGCAAUACUCAAAUCCUGUGGGCAAUAUUGCCUGGCUUCUUUACCCUGGGAGUAGAGUAUUUGCCUUUAUUAGCCUGCACUUUACUCCCUGGGAAUGGAUUCCCAUUUUGUUGUUCUCUAUGGCUCUUGACUCUACUCUCUGGAAAGUUCUUUCUUGAUCAUCAUGUUCCUUAGCCACUUCUGAAGCAGAAAUGAAGAACAUGCUACCUCAGUCUGCUUCCUGCCAGUAGAACGUUGGAGAAAACAAACUCUUAUAUUUUAAAUGGUUAUAGAAUUAAGCCUGGCUGACAGCGCUUUUGGCAAUUCAUUAACUUCUAAAAAGGACACAGAAUACAGAAACCUACACUUAUCACAAUGUAAUAAUGCUAGUACAUAAUUAAAAUAAAGACUGAAAUGAAAAAGCCUCUAUUGGUUGGAAAUUUAAAAAUUCCCUCUUAAAAGAACGUCUAGCUAUUAUAUGUCAGAACCUAGGGCUUCCAUUAAAGGAGUCACAGUAGAUCCUUUCAUUUGCAUAAAACGGCUCCUAAAGUCUGUGGAUAUUAUCUUUGCUUUUCCCAAAGUACAUAUAAUUAAUUCUGGGGAGAGAAGGAUAUCUGAAAAAGAAAUAUGAGCCUGGCUAACAACACAAUAGGGAUCAAAUAUUUAGAAAACUCAUGAAGUUUUAGAGAGACUUGGAUUAUGGUUAAUGUUCUAUGAACAUUUGUUCCAUGUUUUUUGGUGUAUAAAUAUUAAAAACUGCUGUAUCUUCUGUUCAGAGUGCCUGCCUUAUUCUCAGUGAGUGCUAAUUGCCCCCAAAUCCUAUCUUGUUUAAAACUGUAAAAAUUAAAAUGGUGACCCGCUCCUCUUCUUCCACCUUUUCAUCUUCAUGGUCCUUUGCUUAUUGUUGAAUACGUAUUCCUACUUGGCUCUGCCUUUGGCCACAUUUCCUUCUAUUUGAUGGUGUAGUUUUCUCUUGCCUGGUUUCAUUACAAAUGGAGUGUGAAUUUUUUUUCUCUCUUAUUCUUCCUGUGGCUUUCCAGUGAUUCCCAAGAAGAUAAGAAAAUAUUUUGACUUUACUCUCUUUAAACUGGAAGUUCAACUUUGGAAUUGUAAAGACAGAUGGGCUUUAUGACAACCUUUUGCAAUGUACUGAUGAUAGUUUUGAUUAACUAAGACAAUUUCAAGGGCAGUAUAAUGACCAAUAUUUUGAUCUUACUGAGAAAGAAAGAGGGCAUUAAAAUAAUUAUUUCUGGAUGUGUUGUCUAAAAAACUAUCAGAUAAUCUCAAAAUUGCAUAUGGAAUAUCUCCAAAGAAGUUUUUCUGACAUCCUUAACAAUGCUUCAAAUGUUCAUUCCUCAUGUGAUUUUUAAAAGGCAUUAUAUAAAAGGAAAAUAAUAUAAAUAACACGUGGAAGAAAUUCCAUGCUACUGAAGUAAACUGAAGCCAAUUUAAUGUGAAUGAAUUCUGGUUUGCCUUGUAUAAUCAACCUUAGAUAGAACUUGAAAGUUUUAUACCAGGAAUGUUAAUUUACACCAUGAAUGCUAGUUGAUUAAGUGAGAAGUUUGUGGUAAUUUUUUAUAGAAGUUUGGGUAUUAAAUUUUCAUCAAGAAUUACUUCCUUGAUUAAACUAUUGUUAUUAAGGAGGAAAUAAGAUUGGACCUGAGUCAUUUUGAAUCCAGGCAUGUAACUCUGUAAAAACAUAAACACUUCCUUUAUUUGAUGCUGUUCCAUUAAAAUAAUUUUUGUGCUGGACAAAGAGAAUGAUAUUGAAAGAGUAUUUUAUUUUAUAUAUUUUUAUUUUUUAAAAAAGUUUAUUUAUUUAUUUGAGAGAGAGACAAAGAGAGUGAACAAGUGGAGGGGCAGAGGGAGAGGGAAGCAAACAGACUCCCACUGAGCACAGAGCCUAUGUGGUGCUGGAUCCUAGGACCCUGAGAUCAGGACCUGAGCCAAAAUCAAGAGUCAGAUGCUGAACCGACUGAGCCACCCAGGUACCUCAAUAAUUUUUAUCUUAAAAUAUUUUGAUGCUUACCUAGAGUUUUGGAGUGUAGGUUUUCA